rfam:Triticum aestivum genome assembly, contig: Triticum_aestivum_CS42_TGACv1_scaffold_367108_4DS
CAAGUACUCCCUCCAUCCGAAAUUACUUGUCAUCAAAAUGGAUGUGUCUAGAACUAAAAUACAUCUAGAUACAUCCAUUUCAAUGACAAGUAUUUUCGGACGGAGGGAGUACAAG